UUGUUUUUGGUUUUGUAACGAAAAGGAAAACAAGAGUUUGUUUUGUAGUUUUGAAGGAGAUAUUAUCAUCGUUAACCUUGUAGGGAGUUAUCAAGUUAAUGAAAGGAGUCUCUAAGAUUACACUAUGAUGAAUAUCUUGAACAAUUACGAAUGAGGUUUUUAAAAGAAAACACCAUUAGCUAUGGAGGCUUCUGUCUUAUAGCUAAUAGCCAUUUUUGAAUUAUUUGCUGCUAAAAGUUUUUCAGUGGUUUUUUCAUAAAAUUUCUUUGAAACAAUUUUUUUUUUAAUACAGUUCAAAUCUGUUCCUGUAUCAAAUAAGACAAUUGUAUUGAUUUUGAAAUCUUUUGAAAAAAUAAUGGUAAUUUGUAUUAAAUAUUUUCAGGAGAUGAUCUGAUUAAGGAUGAAAAGAAAAUCUUCUGGAGGUUUUUGAGUUUCCAAACUAUUUUCUUUAUUUUUUUUCAGGUUCUUCCUGGGUUUUUGAAAAUAAAAGCUGGAUUGCUUUUGAGUCCUGUGUCUUUUUCUCUUUAAGCUGUUUAAGCUCAUUCUUAGUGGUUUUUAUUUCUCUUUGGAGGCAUUGGACUGGAAGGUUUUGUAAUUGAUCUUCAUGCUUUAAAACAUCAAGAUCAAUUCUUGAAUUUUUAAAAGCAAGUUGACAUUUUUUGCAUUUUCAUAUUCAAUUUUAGAAUCUGAAUUGGAUGAAUUAUUAAUUAAUCCAUCUUUUUGUGAAGGUAUGUUUUCUUCGGACUCCUAGUUGGAGUUUGAAGAGGAAGUUGAAGAAUUAGUACUCAAAUUUUGAAUGACUAGUUUUUCUUUUUUUAAUGAUUUAUGAUUGUUAGUGGAUUCAGAGAUUUUAAAUUUACUUUCUGUUUGUAAUUCUGGGAUUGAUUUUGGAAGAGGUCUCUUUUGUAAUUCAAAGGUUUCUUGAGGGCUUUGUUCCUCUAAAACCUGUUGUUUUGAAUUCUUUUUGUGAGGAGUUUUAUUCUUAACAGUAACAGGAUUAACAGACAAUUUUUCUUCUGCUUUCUUUAGAGGAUCUUUUGGAGCUGCAAUGAACUCUAAUUGAUUAUCUUCUGACUCAUGUUGUUUAGGUUUUGAAACUAUGAUUGUUAAUUUUGUUGAUUUUUUGGACUUUUUGAAAAUUUUUGAAAACGGAUAUGGAAUGUCAUGAUAAUUAGCAUACAUUUCAAACUAUUCAAAGAAAAAAAAUAUGAACUUUAUAUUCAUAUAGAAAAUCAUACUAUUCUUUUUAAAUUUCUUUCCUUCGAUUAUUGAAAUGUUAGAAAAAUCACAUUUGCUUUUUAUGAUUUUUAGGAGAAUAAAAAUCAUGUAAAUAUUGUUUGUCCACUUCAAAUUCUUUUUCAAGCACAUUAAGUUAAUGGUUUACAUUUUCUAUAAUGGCUGAAAAGGUAAGUGAAGUAGGUUCUGACUCUAGUUGGGUUUCAACCUGAACAGACUCAUUUUGUAAAUUUGUAUAACUGGAUGUGGAACAUUUGUAGAGUAAUCUAUGUUUUGUAAAGUAGAUCUAGGCAUUUCUGAAGUAGAAAACCUAGAAGUGCUAGGUAAGUCUGAGGUAGAAUACCAAGGCUGAAUAUUUUGUAUUCCAAAUAGUUUUGUAACAGGCAAACAAAUGAUAGAAUGUAUACAAGACACUUUUCCUAUGUCUAUAGUAUUGAAUGUUGAGGAAUCAUCUGAAAACCUAAGGCUUCUGUUAAAGCUAAGGCUGACUCUUCCAUCGUCAUACUGGGUUAUUUGCCUCAGUUGAACGUUUGGCUCAACUAUUUUUGAAGAUUCUGGUUCUACUGCACCUUCUAAGACCCAUUCUUCUGGUAGGGUUAUGUUCUUCCAUUGGAUAGAUCUGGGGAUUACAGUAUUAGAUUUUGUAAGAUUAGUUUGUAAAAGCAAAGUUUCUCCUCUUUUACUUUGAAACUUAUGUUUUGUGGCAAAAGCAGAAACCAUAGCUUUGUAAUGGAUUUUGUAAAUUAGUGCGAGUCAAACAUUUUGUAAUUGUGAGUUUUGAUUUGUAAAACAAGGGAUUUUGUAAUAUUACUAUUAUUUAACGAAACAGUAAAAUUUGGAUAGCAAUCAAAAGAUAUUAGUUCACUGCACAAACUAGACUCGACUGAACUAAGCAAGGAGUCCUGAAAGUUUAUGAACAUAGUAUCUCUAAGAAUUGCUAGGAUUGAGGUGUUCAAUCCUUCUUUUGUUAGCGGUUUAAUUUUAACUUGGACUAAACCUAUAUGGAUGUAUUUGUAUUAUUUUUCAUGAUAUUUUUGUAAGGAUUUUUGAGACAGAAGAGAAAUCGUCUCAAAGGGUUUUGUAAUCUGAAGAUCUGU
rnacentral:misc_RNA from 1 species